rnacentral:rRNA from 1 species
UAACGACUCUCGGCAACGGAURNCUCGGCUCUCGCAUCGAUGAAGAACGUAGCGAAAUGCGAUACUUGGUGUGAAUUGCAGAAUCCCGUGAACCAUCGAGUCUUUGAACGCAAGUUGCGCCCGAAGCCAUUAGGCCGAGGGCACGUCUGCCUGGGCGUCAYG